AAACUUUUGCUUUUUCGUUGCUUAUUUUUUAAAAUGUUAAAUUGUGAUUCUUUUAUGCUAUGGUGAAACAUGUGUGACACUCUAUUUAUUGAGUUGUAUUGACUGAUUUUAUUAAAUGUCGAGUCGUGGAAUUAGGGUGUUACACUCUGCAUGCUACAGGUGACCAUAGUUCUAAUAGGUGGUGCAGGCCAGGUCAAUGGUGUAUGUGACGGGGAGGUAUCAGGUGUAGCCGUGGAGGAGGGAGGAUGUCG
rnacentral:lncRNA from 1 species